rnacentral:rRNA from 1 species
GACGGAGGAUGCAAGUGUUAUCCGGAAUCACUGGGCGUAAAGCGUCUGUAGGUGGUUCAAUAAGUCAACUGUUAAAUCUUGAGGCUCAACUUCAAAAUCGCAGUCGAAACUAUUGGACUCGAGUAUAGUAGGGGUAAAGGGAAUUUCCAGUGGAGCGGUGAAAUGCGUAGAGAUUGGAAAGAACACCAAUGGCGAAGGCGGCUCACUGGCCCGAUACUGACGCUGAGGCACGAAAGCGUGGGGAGCAAACAGGG